CUAAUGCAAAACCCUAAUCCAUUGGCCAAUCCAUGCUUAACACCUUUGUAUCAUGUCCUAUUGUUUCUUGCCACCACAUGCUUCCAUCCAUCCAAUUAUCAUGCUCCACAUGUCUAACUACAAAGUUUGUAUGCUUAUCCAAGCAAUUGACAUUCACAAAGUCAACUAUGACAUUCAUGGAUUGUACAUGCAUUCUAGGCUUCUUGGAAAUUGCAUUCACAUGGAUUGUACAUGCAUUCUAGGCUUCUUGGAAAUUGCAUUCACAAAGUCAACUACUUACUUCACUUCCUUCACAAUGUCAACUAUCUUUUUAUUGGCUGCAUAUUCUUCUACAUCAAUUCAUUCAUCCAUACAAAGCUUCACAUGACAAGUGUUCUCUUAUGGUGGGGAUAGCUUAUCCAAAGAAGCCACCGCCGGCCACCGCCGCCGGAAAACCCCAAAUCAAACCCAAAUCAACUCACCCAAAAACCUCUUUCACGCCCCAAAUCAAACCCAAAUCAACUCACCCAAAAACCUCUUUCACGCAAAACCUUCUUCUUCCUCUCAGAUGGGCCGAAAAUCAUCAACCCUAACCCCCAAAUUUCAAUUCCUCAAAUUUUGAUCAUCUUGUAUGUUUGAAAUUGUCGAUGAAAUUGGGUAUUUGGAUGUCAAUAAACUCAGGAUCUCUACAGAGAAGGACAUUCUAUCAUGGGCUGUGAAGGUUCACAAAUUCGGGUUUGGUUUGAGAUUUUGUUGAUUUCGAAAGUUGGAUCCUUUACUGCUCGAAAAAGUCAGACAAACCGAAGGUGAAGGUGAGAACAUGGAGGCAGAAGAAGAGGCCGUGAUUGGAUUCUGGAGUGCAUUUGGUUGGUUGGAUGGAAUGACUGUUUUCAUUGCUUUGUUGUCUGAAUAUGUGGUGGAUACAAUUGAGAGAUUCAAGAAACCUAUUUCGAGAGGAAGUACCAGUUUCCUGGAAUGGUAAAGCUUUCAUUUUUAAUAUCUUUUGUUGAAAUAAGUGAUAUUUAUUAUGAUUGUUUAUUUGUUUGUAUUCAUAGUGUUGUAUAUAACAAUGAGUUUUAAAUCAAGGUUUUAAAAAGUGAUUGCGGUAAAGGUCGCGGUUGCGUUGUUACCUUUGCUAUUGCCGUCAUUGGAACCAAGAUCACCUUCUAUUAUUGUUUAAAUCUAAUACAGAACUCUGAACUCUGGAGGAAAGAAGAUGUAUAUGUAUCUUUAUGUUCAUGUGCCUGCAACAAUGAUCUCUUUGAGUUAGUUUGCGAUGACCGAACCUUCAGAGGUCGUUUACGUUUGAAACGUAGGGUACGAAAUAUCUGAGGUACUCUCCUGCCUCUGAAUAAGAUGUCAUCUGGUGCUCUAGAGUUCAA